ACCCAACUCGUGUUAUUGCAAACGCGGUAUCAAAUACGGUAUAUCCAAUGACGGUUGGGUUGACGCUGUUGUCGGCGUAGCGAUUCGGGGAAAAACAUUGCGUAAAAUGAUCGUACCCGAGUCAAUGAAAUAUUUGCAACAAACAUCAUCACCGUGCAGACAACAACAACGGAUUGCCCACGGGUCACGCGGGACGUUAGAUUCACGCCCCUGAACCACG